rnacentral:tRNA from 1 species
GGUCUUAUAGUGUAGUGGUUAUCACUCAGGAUUUUGAAGCGGUCUCAGAGUGCAGAAGCUUGAUUUCCUGGAACCCAGGUUCGAACCCUGGUAAGACCU